rnacentral:rRNA from 1 species
CUGAUGGAGCACGCCGCGUGUGUGAUGAAGGGUUUCGGCUCGUAAAACACUGUUGUAAGAGAAGAAUGACAUUGAGAGUAACUGUUCAAUGUGUGACGGUAUCUUACCAGAAAGGAACGGCUAAAUACGUGCCAGCAGCCGCGGUAAU